rnacentral:rRNA from 1 species
GACGAACGCUGGCGGCGUGCCUAAUACAUGCAAGUAGAACGCUGAAGAGAGGAGCUUGCUCUUCUUGGAUGAGUUGCGAACGGGUGAGUAACGCGUAGGUAACCUGCCUUGUAGCGGGGGAUAACUAUUGGAAACGAUAGCUAAUACCGCAUAACAAUGGAUGACACAUGUCAUUUAUUUGAAAGGGACAAUUGCUCCACUACAAGAUGGACCUGCGUUGUAUUAGCUAGUAGGUGAGGUAACGGCUCACCUAGGCGACGAUACAUAGCCGACCUGAGAGGGUGAUCGGCCACACUGGGACUGAGACACGGCCCAGACUCCUACGGGAGGCAGCAGUAGGGAAUCUUCGGCAAUGGGGGCAACCCUGACCGAGCAACGCCGCGUGAGUGAAGAAGGUUUUCGGAUCGUAAAGCUCUGUUGUAAGUCAAGAACGAGUGUGAGAGUGGAAAGUUCACACUGUGACGGUAGCUUACCAGAAAGGGACGGCUAACUACGUGCCAG